GGUCCUAUAAGUCAGUUGGUCAGAGCGUCGACUAAUAUUAUAAUUGUCUUAUAAACGUUGGUAGUGCGAAGGCCGUGAGUUCAAGCCCCACCGGGACCA